rnacentral:rRNA from 1 species
GACGAACGCUGGCGGCGUGCUUAACACAUGCAAGUCGAACGGAAAGGCCCUGCUUUUGUGGGGUGCUCGAGUGGCGAACGGGUGAGUAACACGUGAGUAACCUGCCCUUGACUUUGGGAUAACUUCAGGAAACUGGGGCUAAUACCGGAUAGGAGCUCCUGCUGCAUGGUGGGGGUUGGAAAGUUUCGGCGGUUGGGGAUGGACUCGCGGCUUAUCAGCUUGUUGGUGGGGUAGUGGCUUACCAAGGCUUUGACGGGUAGCUGGCCUGAGAGGGUGACCGGCCACAUUGGGACUGAGAUACGGCCCAGACUCCUACGGGAGGCAGAAGUGGGGAAUAUUGCACAAUGGGCGGAAGCCUGAUGCAGCAACGCCGCGUGCGGGAUGACGGCCUUCGGGUUGUAAACCGCUUUCGCCUGUGACGAAGCGUGAGUGACGGUAAUGGGUAAAGAAGCACCGGCUAACUACGUG